CCCUUAGAUGUCCUGGGCCGCACGCGCGCUACACUGAUGCAUUCAACGAGUUUCACCUUGGCCGAGAGGCCUGGGCAAUCUUUUAAACCUGCAUCGUGAUAGGGAUAGAUUAUUGCAAUUAUUAAUCUUGAACGAGGAAUUCCUAGUAAACGCAAAUCAUCAAUUUGCAUUGAUUACGUCCCUGCCCUUUGUACACACCGCCCGUCGCACCUACCGAUUGGAUGGUCCGGUGAAGCCUCGGGAUUGUGGCCAGUUCACUUUAUUGGGAGUUGGCUGUGAGAACUUGUCUAAACCUUAUCAUUUAGAGGAAGGUGAAGUCGUAACA
rnacentral:rRNA from 1 species